rnacentral:rRNA from 1 species
UUGACGUUAGCGGCGGACGGGUGAGUAACACGUGGGUAACCUACCUAUAAGACUGGGACAACUUCGGGAGACCGGAGCUAAUACCGGAUAAUAUGUUGAACCGCAUGGUUCAAUAGUGAAAGAUGGUUUUGCUAUCACUUAUAGAUGGACCCGCGCCGUAUUAGCUAGUUGGUGAGGUAACGGCUCACCAAGGCAACGAUACGUAGCCGACCUGAGAGGGUGAUCGGCCACACUGGAACUGAGACACGGUCCAGACUCCUACGGGAGGCAGCAGUAGGGAAUCUUCCGCAAUGGGCGAAAGCCUGACGGAGCAACGCCGCGUGAGUGAUGAAGGUCUUAGGAUCGUAAAACUCUGUUAUUAGGGAAGAACAAACGUGUAAGUAACUGUGCACGUCUUGACGGUACCUAAUCAGAAAGCCACGGCUAACUACGUGCCAGCAGCCGCGGUAAUACGUAGGUGGCAAGCGUUAUCCGGAAUUAUUGGGCGUAAAGCGCGCGUAGGCGGUUUUUUAAGUCUGAUGUGAAAGCCCACGGCUCAACCGUGGAGGGUCAUUGGAAACUGGAAAACUUGAGUGCAGAAGAGGAAAGUGGAAUUCCAUGUGUAGCGGUGAAAUGCGCAGAGAUAUGGAGGAACACCAGUGGCGAAGGCGACUUUCUGGUCUGUAACUGACGCUGAUGUGCGAAAGCGUGGGGAUCAAACAGGAUUAGAUACCCUGGUAGUCCACGCCGUAAACGAUGAGUGCUAAGUGUUAGGGGGUUUCCGCCCCUUAGUGCUGCAGCUAACGCAUAAGCACUCCGCCU